rnacentral:rRNA from 1 species
UGGGGAAUAUUGCACAAUGGGCGCAAGCCUGAUGCAGCCAUGCCGCGUGUAUGAAGAAGGCCUUCGGGUUGUAAAGUACUUUCAGCGGGGAGGAAGGGAGUAAAGUUAAUACCUUUGCUCAUUGACGUUACCCGCAGAAGAAGCACCGGCUAACUCCGUGCCAGCAGCCGCGGUAAUACGGAGGGUGCAAGCGUUAAUCGGAAUUACUGGGCGUAAAGCGCACGCAGGCGGUUUGUUAAGUCAGAUGUGAAAUCCUCGGGCUCAACCUGGGAACUGCAUCUGAUACUGGCAAGCUUGAGUAUCGUAGAGGGGGGUAGAAGUCCAGGUGUAGCGGUGAAAUGCGUAGAGAUCUGGAGGAAUACCGGUGGCGAAGGCGGCCCCCUGGACGAAGACUGACGCUCAGGUGCGAAAGCGUGGGGAGCAAACAGG